UCCGGUUUGUCACCGGCAGUCUCCUUAGAGUGCCCAACUAAAUGAUGGCAACUAAGAAUAAGGGUUGCGCUCGUUGCGGGACUUAACCCAACAUCUCACGACACGAGCUGACGACAACCAUGCACCACCUGUCACCACUGUCCCCGAAGGGAAAGCCAUGUCUCCAUGGCGGUCAGUGGGAUGUCAAGACCUGGUAAGGUUCUUCGCGUUGCUUCGAAUUAAACCACAUACUCCACCGCUUGUGCGGGCCCCCGUCAAUUCCUUUGAGUUUCAGUCUUGCGACCGUACUUCCCAGGCGGCGAACUUAACGCGUUAGCUUCGAUACUGAGUUCCUAAUUGAACCCAACAUCCAGUUCGCAUCGUUUAGGGCGUGGACUAC
rnacentral:misc_RNA from 1 species